UGCCUUGCCACAUGGCAAAACAUAACAAUUCAAUAUCCUGUGUUAGUAGACUUUGAAAGUUAAGAUUCAAAGGUUGAACGCUUGGGGGAUUGCAUACAC
rnacentral:ncRNA from 1 species